AACUAUGGCAACAGUGGUUACGGAUCUAGUAACUAUGGCGCCAAUGGCUACGCAUCUGGUAACUAUGGCAACAACCAAAAGCCUGUAACUGAGAACUAUGGCGACAUUGGUGGUGGGGGUCAAGGGUCAAGCUACAGCAGCCGACCUGGUCUAGUUCCAAACAUCUGCUGUCAGACCGAGGAAGUGUUUUUCGUCAACUCCACACUGACCGAUUACUUUGGGGUUAGCCGUACCAUCGCUCAGAGGGACACGGCGGGGUCAUAUCAGUUCAUCCGUCACGGUCUCUGCAGAAAAACUGGCCAGUGCCCUGGCGACUGCCAGCAAGUUUACGUCAGUCAAGUUCUGGCCAUCCACCCCCCAGAGGCCGGUCAGUUGGUCACCUUCAAGUUCUUCAAAGUACCCGGAUAUUGCGCAUGUACAUUCAGUUAGUUCCCCUGCUUGUGUAGCAAGUGAAUUGAUUAUCGUUCUUGAUUGAUGUCUUGUUAAAAAUAUACACACACGGAUCAUUGCUUUGUUAUCUGGUUGUUUACAGUUUUAUUAAUCCCACACAUAAACCACACAACCACACAUGAACCCAACACAUCCCACACAUAGCCCCAUAUUAAAAACAUGACCCCCAUGUAUCCCCCUAUACUACCACAUAUGACAACAUACUACCACGCAUGUUACCCAAGCAUGACCAAACGUCCCCCACAUACCACAUAUGUCCCCCACCUAAUCACACACGUCCACUCGCACACCCACACUACCACACAUGACCAUUAGGCAUACCCCCAUACCCCCAUACAUGAACCCCACACACACCGACACACCGUACUAAGAUGACCUCCACACAAACCACACAUAUCUUCCACAUACCCCCACACUACCACAUAUAUUCCUACCAAUUCCACAUGUCCACACACGUGACACACAUCCC